rfam:Diaporthe helianthi strain 7/96 Scaffold_3021.1, whole genome shotgun sequence.
GCCCCUAUGGCCAAGUGGUAAGGCGUCGCACUUGUAAUGCGAAGAUCGGUCGUUCGAAUCGGCCUGUAAGUU